rnacentral:rRNA from 1 species
UACGUAGGGUGCGAGCGUUAAUCGGAAUUACUGGGCGUAAAGCGUGCGCAGGCGGUUUGUUAAGCGAGAUGUGAAAGCCCCGGGCUCAACCUGGGAAUGGCGCUUGUGACUGCAAGGCUGGAGUGCGGCAGAGGGGGAUGGAAUUCCGCGUGUAGCAGUGAAAUGCGUAGAUAUGCGGAGGAACACCGAUGGCGAAGGCAAUCCCCUGGGCCUGCACUGACGCUCAUGCACGAAAGCGUGGGGAGCAAACAGG